CUAGAGUGACAGAGUUUGAUGAAUAAACUUAAAUUAAAAAACAGAAAUAACCACCAUCUCUCUCAGAGGUCGUCUUUCUCAUUAUUGUGGGGAAACCUCAAAGGGCAUCAGGAAAACCUUCAUCAACCUCUUUGUGCCCAGUGGCUUGUGCAACAGUGUUUCAGAAAUUAUCAUUAAAAUGGGGAUAAUGGAUGAC